rnacentral:rRNA from 1 species
CCCAGACUCCUACGGGAGGCAGCAGUGGGGGAUAUUGCACAAUGGGGGGAACCCUGAUGCAGCGACGCCGCGUGGGUGAAGGAGCGUUUCGGCGCGUAAAGCCCUAUCGGCAGGGAAGAAGGAGGACGGUACCUGACUAAGAAGCCCCGGCUAACUACGUGCCAGCAGCCGCGGUAAUACGUAGGGGGCAAGCGUUAUCCGGAUUUACUGGGUGUAAAGGGGGAGCGGACGGCAGCGCAAGCCAGGAGUGAAAGCCCGCGGCCCAACCGUGGGACUGCUCUGGAAACUGUGCGGCUUGAGUGCGGGAGGGGCAGGCGGAAUUCCUAGUGUAGCGGUGAAAUGCGUAGAUAUUAGGAGGAACACCGGCGGCGAAGGCGGCCUGCUGGACCGUAACUGACGUUGAGGCUCGAAAGCGUGGGGAGCAAACAGGAUUAGAUACCCCAGUA